CGUGGUUCCGUUCAUUGCCUAUAGAGCGUCACGCAGCACAGUGUUGUAUUACUUGGUUAUCUUUUUGAUAAAAUUAAUUUCUAAAGUUGAAACAAGUAUAAUAUUUGAAGCGUGUUAGUAAUUUAAAAAACAUAUAUUCGGAUGUUUUAUUUAAUCUUACUAGAUAAUUUGGUUGGACGAACUCAAGGGACAUAUAAUUUUGAAUAAGCAAAUAGUAGACCUCUGGUUUAUGCAAUAGGCAACUCUAUUGGAUAAGUGGACCCUGUAGUGUGCAGAAUUGUGGCAAAAUAUUUAAUUCCGCAAUUUUAGUAAUUAUAAUCCGGUUGGUGUGUAAACUUCAAUUUUUUUUAUUGUUAGUUUAAUAUUGCGCGUAUGUUUGCGCUAAAGUAUUGAUAAAAGUAUAAUCUAUAAAAUCGGAAGUUUGAUUUCAAAAAGGAUAAAUCGAAAACGGCAUUAAUGAGUUGGAAACGCAACAAAAACGAUAAAAGGAGUGUACGGCGAAUUGUGUGCAGGAAAACGGACGCCAGAUCAGAUUAUCCUAAAGUAAUAAGCACAAAGUGAAUAUUACGUGUAACAAGUUUUCCUUCGAAGUUUAUUUGGCAAACAGCAUUAAUAGUUAUAAAAACCAACAGGCAGGUGCUUCUGCGUUUCCACUGUCAAGUUUACGACAAGGAUCUUUGUGUCUAAAAAUCUGAAUCGGCUCUGAAUUAGGAAUAGUUACAAUUGAUGCGUGGUAUUACUGACUAGUGAUUAAAGAUAACAACAAGUGGGCAUGCGCGUCGAAAUGCGGCAAACACUGCUUUAAACAAUUUAAAUUUAAGUUAAAUUCAAAUAAUAAAAGCAUAACUACAUACUCACACACACACACACACACACACACACACCAAUAUAUGAAAAGUGAACGCCGUGAUUGUAUGCGCCGGCGUGUGUGUGCGUUUUGUGGUGUAACAAUACAAAAAGUGUAGACAUAUCUGUGCUGUGCGCAGACGUGUUUCUCUCAACGCUUUGCAAAGUAUUCCCUAAAAUAUUAUUUUGCAAUAAUAAAAUAUCAAACAUUACCAGCAGAGAAGCGAAGCAACACGAUGGCACGCCAUAUAAUGGCCGUUUGCGUCGUGUGCCUACUGUGCGCCGAUCGCAUACCCUGUCAGGAGCAUGUCAUAAAUGAUUAUAUGGCGAAUGCUGCUGCAUACCCGCCGCCACAUUUCGAAUAUCAACAGUUAAAUGCGCGCGUGCACGAGCGACGUGACGCUUUACGCUUCGGCAUGGACCCGUUGACUGGCGGCACACACAAACAUGCAGUUAACGCGAAUGCUGAUGACGAACUUGACAUUGAAAUAACAACGAGCCACAUACAUAGUAAUAAACCACAUCGAAGAAAACGACAUGCUGGACAUGCGCACGAUGAUGAGACGACGACCAGCGCCUUGCAUCCACCCGAGAUUACAGCGGAAUUCCUGCAGCGUAUAUUUGUCGAGUAUGGACAUAAGGCUGAUGGCACAAUGACAGUGGAAGAAUUUCAGCGCAUACUGAAAAAGCUCGGCUUGAAUCAGCUGAUAGAAGGAGAUAGUUCAGCACAACAACAACAGCGACAAGAAAAAACCGCCCAACAUUUACAGCAUUCUGCGGCGAACCAGCAGCAGGCGACCAGCAAUGGCACUUGUGUUAGCGAUGCCGCACUAGUCUACCAUGUCCAGCCACAUAAACGAAUUGAACACACACACCUGCAUAUCGAGCGUGCCAUGAAUUGCAAUGAUACCGAUGCAACGGAUUGUGCGCAUGCGCAACAAAAUCAAUCAAAGCAUAGAGUGUUGCAUGAACACACGCCAAAUUAUACGAUUAGCAAAGAAGAUAUGCUGCAUCUGUGUCCAGUAUUGUUGUAUCAAAUGGCGUCACCACUGGCUGGUGAUCGCGCCGGUUGCAUAGAUUCCUCGAUACUGGAGCAUGUUGAAGCAUAUGAAGCGAGCGAAUACGACGCCAAGGAGGAUAUUGUUUAUGUCUGGAUAUACGCAUUUAUCUCCGUUUUCGCCUGUGGCAUUUUGGGACUUGUUGGUGUGGCAAUCAUACCCUUUAUGGAUUCGCGGUAUUACAAAUACAUUAUACAAUAUUUGGUGGCACUGGCUGUUGGCACCAUGACCGGUGAUGCUUUGUUGCAUUUACUACCACAUUCUCUAGCUGGUCAGAGCGAGCAAAAUAUGAUACUAAAAGGACUCGGCUGCAUGAGUGGCAUUGUUUUCUUCUAUAUGACCGAACAUGGCCUCACCAUGAUCGCGGAGUGGCGCAAACGUAUAGCCAAAAGUGAUACGAAACAACAAUCGCGCGCCAAAGUCGUACGUGAUCCCGAUUCUUCGGUCAACAACUCGGUUGCUGGCGAUAAAGUAUGCAAGUCCAAGUACAGCUCAUAUCCUUAUUGUUACGAUGAGAUCGCUAUGGAUACAAAAAACGAUAUGCAUUUGCCCGGCUCAAAGCUGAACAACAUUUCUGAUUUAUCUGGUGAGUUAAUGGGUGUUAGUAAUAAUGUGGAGCGUAAGCGUAAUGGCAAAGCAGACGCCGAAGACAACGAUGCGGUGGCGCAAUCCCUAAUACCUGUGUGGCAUCACAAUCAUCAAGAUCAUCAGCAUUCACAGCCACAGCACCACCACAUACACCUGCCCGACAGCAAUACGAUCUCAACCGAUUUAGAUGGCAAUUCGAUGGGUGGCGGUGGUGGUGGUGGUGAUGGCCAUAGUCACGCUUUGGUCUACAAUCCGACGGUGGCCACCAAUGGCAAUGCCAAAGAACAUUCAUUAGUCAGCGAUUCCGUUCCAACUGUGAUAUUACGUGAGCACGAGUCAUCGCAUCACGGGCAUAGUCAUAAGCACGGACACGUACACUCGCCACCGGAAUCGUUAAGUGCUGUUGUCUGGAUGAUUAUCAUGGGUGAUGGCUUGCAUAACUUCACCGACGGCAUGGCAAUAGGCGCUGCUUUCGCUGAAAACAUUGCCGGCGGCUUCUCCACAUCGCUAGCGGUAUUUUGUCACGAACUGCCACACGAACUGGGCGAUUUCGCAAUACUCAUCAAAGCGGGCAUGUCCAUCAAAACAGCAGUCUAUUACAAUUUAUUAACGAGCGUGCUCAGCUUUUUUGGCAUGAUAAUCGGUAUAAUUUUUGGACAAUCGCCAAAUGUAGCCCAAUGGAUGUUCGCUGUAGCCGCCGGGCUCUUCAUCUACAUAGCGCUUGUCGAUAUGAUGCCGGAAUUAUCGUCGGCACACAAGACACUGGAGCAAUUCUUAUUGCAAAUACUUGGCAUGUGCACUGGUGUUGCCAUAAUGCUGUUAAUUGCAUUAUACGAGGGUGAUCUCUUAAGCGUCUUCUCUUCGGCUUCAACGACAGCCACACACAAACAUUAGUGAUGUCUAUAAUUGGCUGAAAGCAGAUAUGUAAUAGUUAAUACAAAAAAAAAAACCCACCAGCCACACAAAAAAUGCCAUUACACCAUUUGCUAUUCCGCACAUAGAAUGCGAAGAGCGAAAUGAGCAAAGCUCUGCAACUACGUUCGUUGACACACAUUUAAGCUCGGCUCGCACGUAAAAUGUUGCAUAUACAUUUAAUUUCUUUAAAUGCCGCAUAUACAUGUUGUGCUGAGCGUUUUUUCCAAAAUGAUUGCAUAAUGCAUAUUUUGCAUAAAGCGAAGAUGAAGAGUUUGAGUUGGAUUAAAAUUAAUUGCAUAGAUUUCUCACACGAAAGUGUUGAUUAUGCCACAAUACUUUGUCGUACAUAUAAAUAAAUCAUAUUUUAUUAUUAUUACUUUUUAUAGCUGAUAAUGUCAUCAAAGCAAGUGAAUAACUGUAGUAUUAAGCGAAUGAGAAAGUCGUUGAGUAAAAUCAAUUGAAAUGUAAACUGUGGAAUUUAAUAUUUUUCUAUUUCUUCACGCUAUAACUAAGAUAUGCUAAAGAAAACAACUACAAAAAACAAACAAACUAAAAAUAUGGUGCUGCAUUAUUUAUGUACGCAUAAUUAUAUAUAUAACUACACAUACACGUAUAUAUACAUAUAUCUGUGCAUUCACAAAUGUGGGUGUCAAUAUAUAUACAUAUAUACUAUAUACUUAUGUAUUAUAUAUACAUAAAUAUUUUUUUGGAUACUUUUUUUCUAAGCGCAAAAGUUUGUAUUUGCACACGAAAUUAUUGCAAUCGUUGAAAUCACUUUUACACACACAUACAUAUGUCUGUCCUAUGCGUUGCCAUAAGCUAUAAUGCAGGCGCGCAAUUGAAUUUGUAAGUUUUGUCAACAAUAAUUUGCAGUUGUAGUGAAUUGCACUAUUUCUGACAAUUUAUAUACUUUUUUUAUACAACAACAGCGUAAAGCAUAUGGAAUGAUGCAAUAAACUGAGCAGAAAGGAAAUUUACAAAAAAAUAAAAAAAAACUACUUUUAAACACUGCAAAAAGUGCUAUUUAAGUGAAUACAUACUAUACACAGACUUACUUAUAUAUAUAUAUAGAUAUAUUUAAUGCAAACAUUAAUGUUAAUUGUAUUUUUCAUAGGUUGAGAAGUGCGACAACAACACAAUGUUAUAUAACACUCAUAGUAUAUUAUAACGUAGAACACGCUGCUUAAGUUUAACACACCACAUAUAUUAUAGUAAUUUGUUAAAAAAAAAAAAACAAUUAAAACAUUAUUAACUUAACCACACUUUUGUAGUUUGGGCGAGCGUAGUUUAAAUUGCAUUUUUUUUUACAAAAUUUCAAAAACACCAUCAGCGUUGUAAAUAUUUUACACAACAGUUUUGUAUUUCAUUUCUAUUUUUUUAAGGAAAAUAGCACGCACGCAUUUCUUAUAUAACCUCAUACACGUCAUAAAUAUUUUAUUGUAGUAUAAAACAUUUUCUUAUAUUAUAUUUGUACUUAAUUCGUUUCUCAGUUCAUUGCUGAUUAAGUAUUUGCAAUAGUGUUAGUUAAGUUUUGCAUUAUAAUUAGCAUACGUACAUAUAUAUAGCGACGUUAAUAUAUAAAAACAAAAACACGAAAAACACACAAGAACUAUUUUGUAUGAAACCAAGCAAUCAGGCAGCUCACUUAAGCGUAAAAUAUUUAAUAAACAGCAGUUAUAAUUUCCUAAUUUACAGAUUUCACGUGUUUUAUUUAACUGUUUUUUAUUUUAUUAUAUAUUUUUCUUAUUAUUAUUAUUUUAGCAGCUAUUAAUUGUUUGUACUACUUUGUUGUUUACAAACAAACCUACUGUUUACAUUUUCCCAAGCACAACACUUAAAUUCUUUUUUUCACAAACUAAAACUAAUAAAAAAUUACUUCAAACAUUAAAAAAAAAAACAAUAUGCAAAGGAUUUCCUAACUGUAACUGUGAAAUUCAAAGAAUGAAAACGACAAGUAACGAAUAAAAUUUGUGAUGUUUACCUUUAAAAGCGUAGAUUUGCAAAAUGCAUAAUUCAUGCAUACAUAUAUUCAACUAAAUACAUACAUACUUACAAACAUAUACAUACAUACAUGUAUGUAAAUGUAUAUUAUAACAUUUAAAUCUAGUAAACACGGCAAAAAUUGCAAAUAAAUGUUUUCUACAACACUUGUAAACACACGAGACUUCCUAAGGAGUUACCUAAUUAAGCUAAUAAACAGUAUUCUUACAUACAUACAUACAUUCACACCAUGCAUGGAGGCAUGUACACAAUAUGUUAAAUGUACAAGCAGAGGAUAAAUAAAUGAAUUGAUUUUCAAUACAUUAAGAAAUUUCUUCUAAGACAGGGUUUAAGUAUUUACAAGGUAGUUUGGAAUUGAACACAACGGCAUUACAAGCACUACUACUUCCCUGAAAUGUCGAAACUGAAUCAAAUUCUUUCAAAAAAAAGCGUAAUGCAUACAUAUCUGGACCUAUGCCUGAUAUAUCAGAAUGACCGCAAAUGAGCAACUUCUACUAUUGAUAAAUUUAAAGUAGAAACAAAGCCGCUGUUCACUUACUAACAACGAGGGCAGAAGCUUUUGGUUAGCACCGAGUAUCUGUGCCGUUAACGAAAAAAAGGUUCUUGAGUAUUGAAACCAAUGUGCAAUUUCCUAAAUCUAUUUGUUUUGCAAUGCGUAGUUAGAAAGCUGCUGAGAGGUUCAUAUAUCGCUUCUGAAAAGGAAAUUAAGAUCACAGUCACAAUACAACACUUACCGACUCAAACAGGGUUAGAUUGCCGAAUCACCAUUAUCAACAAACACCUAUUUUGCUAUGCUUCUCGAGGAUUGAUCUAACUAUUUCAGCAUGGGUAAGUAUUCAUGUAGGACCCCCUCGAGACAGCUCGUUUCCUGGACCUACUCUCAAAUAAACUAGAUGACAACUGACUCACCAUUCCUCCGAAGAGGGUUUUAGUUAUCCGUUAAAAUAACAACAGCACACUAAAUAUAUGUAUUAUUGGAGGCAGGGAAAAUCAAUGAGGAAGUAAUUGUUCUUUCAACUUAAAGUAACGUCGGAAAGAUUUAUUAAAGCAUGUAAGCGUCACAUAUAUGAAAUAUUUUAGAGAUAACAAACAUUUGCUGAAAAGUUUAGAGAUGUGCAAAUGGACUCAGCAAAGCUACAAUUACAUACAUAAAUAUGGCAUAACAAAGAAUAUGUUGGUGGACAUUACAUAUCCAUAUUCUCAGGCUGGUAGAGAGAUAACCGGGGCCCAGAGAUGAUUGUAGUGAAUUGUUGGAUAAAAAACUCUGCAAAAAAUUGUUGCACAGCACCGGUCUUAGGAGGAAUUGUCCCCGAUUUUCCCCUGUCUCCAUCACUUCUUCCUUUUUGCCAUCAAUUGCUCCUAAUUCACAAAGAGAUGGCUUCAGACAAACAAGAGUAUAUAAAAUAUUCUCAAAAUUUUAUUUUAAAUUUUUAUUAUACAACGGUAUCAAGUAAAUUCGCUCAGAGUAUACAAAGCAACGCAUAUAAUGCUAAACAAAAUCCCCUUCCAUUAGUAUCCAAUCGUUAUUUGGCUCUUUACAACACUUGCAUUGACUUUGGCAUGAGCAGCCAACUUCAAGCGAAACAAAAAGAAAAUAGUGUAUGUGUCAAAUAAAGAUGUUGGUUACCGGAUUACUGCGCUCUUGUAGAUUUCUCCCAAUUGUGGUGAUUCUGCUAAUCCUAGGGGAACAACAACAUGUCCAAGCUAACGUGAAUAAUCAUCUGGCCGGUGUGCAUCGACGUUUCGAGUAUAAAUAUUCCUUUAAGCCGCCAUAUUUAGCGCAGAAAGAUGGCACUGUGCCCUUCUGGGAGUACGGAGGCAAUGCAAUUGCGAGUGCGGAAAGUGUACGAGUUGCGCCGUCAUUGCGUUCACAAAAGGGUGCCAUCUGGACAAAGUCGCCAACGAACUUCGAUUGGUGGGAGGUGGAGAUAGUCUUCCGAGUAUCCGGUCGAGGGCGUAUUGGUGCUGAUGGUCUGGCUUUGUGGUAUUCCACACAAAAAGGAGAUUAUAAUGGUGCUGUAUUUGGUUCUUCGGACCGUUGGAAUGGUUUGGGCAUCUUUUUUGAUUCCUUCGAUAAUGACAAUAAACAUAAUAAUCCUUAUAUUAUGGCUGUGGUGAAUGAUGGUACUAAACAGUUUGAUCAUGCAAACGAUGGCACCACUCAGUUGUUAUCUGGCUGUUUGCGUGACUUCCGCAACAAACCGUUCCCGACACGCGCACGCAUUGAAUACUAUAACAAUGUAUUAACUGUAUUUUUCCACAAUGGUAUGACGAACAAUAAUGAGGAUUAUGAAAUGUGUCUACGCACGGACGGUGUGCAAUUACCCAAAAACGGUUACUUUGGUCUUUCCGCGGCGACUGGAGGUUUGGCUGAUGAUCAUGAUGUCUUCCAUUUCUUGACAACGUCACUGCAUCCGCCCGGUCAAGUGCCAUCAGACCCUGUAAAAGUUCCAGAAAACUCUGAAAAGCUGACACAGGAAUAUAAGGAAUAUCAAGAAAAGUUGGAGAAACAAAAGCAGGAGUAUAAGAAGGAGCAUCCUGAUGAGGUUAAAGACGAUGAUGAUUGGGAAGAAUUCUUUGAAUCGGAAAACCAACGUGAAUUGCGUCAAAUAUUUCAAGGUCAAAGUCAGAUAUUCGAGCAAUUACGUGAUCUUUCACGCAAAGUAGAUGAGGUAAUAGGACGCCAAGAAAACACACUAUCGCUGGUAUCGAGAAGUGCUGGUGCGCCGGUACAACAAGUAGGUGGUGCCGCAGGUGCCGGUGUGCCACCUGUUGCCACAGGCACAAUCAGCGGUACAAUUACACGACCUGAAGUUGAUCUUAUAGUUGCAAAUCAGAAUGCCUUAUUGGCGACAGCGCGUGAGAUACGUACGUUAAUCGGUGAUAUUCAAAUACGCACCGACACCAUUGUACAAAAUCAACAACGUGCGCCCACAGCACAAGUACAAGCAGCCGGCUACGAUAUACAAUCGGUCAUCGCUGAGAUGCGAGACGGCAUGAAUCAGGUGAAACAGGGCAUGGCGCAUGUUGGGCAGAAACUGGGCACGCCACAGGCGCAAACGGGUUGUCCAACAGGUAACUGUGUUGGCGUAACUUUGUUCCUAAGCGUGACUGUUGUGCAACUGAUACUUGUGUUUUUAUAUCAACUUUUCAAGAGUCGCAGUGAAGCUCAAGCGAAGAAGUUCUACUAAACCAAAUUCAUGAACAACCGAAUUACUAUAGAAAUUUACAAUGAUUUAUGUGGAAUUUGUAUUUUUUCUGCAUGUAAAACGUUUUUAUUACACAUGUCCCGAACAAUUCGUUUUAACUAAAAUGAAAUGUUCCUUUACAUUCUGUGUGACAUAUACCAGCUGCAGAAUGAUAGCAACAUUUUCGUAAAAUUUCCAUGAACAAUUUGUAUACCAAGAGAACAAAACAAAACAAAAAGUGUGUAAAAUUAAAAUAUGUCUAAAAAGGAGUAGAUACAAAUUAUAAACAAAUAGUAAAUGAAUUGUGAAAAAUAUCAUUGACAUUGAAAAUGUUCAAACUGGAAUGAGUUUGUAACAAAUAUUUCGUAUCAGUGUGUUGUGUAUUUCACAGUUAUUUAAAAAGAUA